AGGCAGAAGAACGGGAGUCAUGAAAGAGGCUACCUUAAGGGCGUGGCCAGGAGAGGGGCAAUGAGCAGGAUGGAAAGUGAAAAAGGAAAAGCUCUGUAUUUGAGUGAGGAGCUGAGGUUGAGCAGGGACAGGAACCUGCCUGAAUGCCGCUGUGGCCAAAGCCUGGAUCUGAAGCUGUCUGCUCUGCCCUGUGCUCUUUGCUGAAGUCCUGCUCCAGUGAGGAGACCCGUCCCAGACUGUGGAGGGAAGCUGACUUCUCCCCAGGGCCGACUUCUCUUCUUUUGGCUUCAGUUACUACUGUUCUGUAAGACUGAAUUCAAAAGGCCUUACAGAUUCCUAUCUACGAGACUGCUUUAAGUCUCAUUAGAUACUUGGGAGUUUGGACUUUUAACAGAAGUGGGACAGUUACGACUUGGAGGAUCCUUGAAGCUUGGCUAAAGGCUUUUGCAUUGUAAGAUGUGAACAUCUUGGGAGAUGAAUAGAAUCUAAAAUAUUUCCCAUGGGCUUGUAUUUUAAACACUUGUGGCCAAUUGGUAGCAAUACUUGAAGAGGAUGUGGAACCUUUUAGAAACUGAGCCUGUCUGUCAGAAGUCACUAGGGGCUGGAAAUCACUGGGCGCAUGUCUUAGAAGCUUGCAGCCUGGCUCCCAGUUCUAACCUGUGUCUAGUUCCUGGGUUGUAGUAUUGUGGAACUUCUGCUGCACGCUUCCGGUAAUGUCUUCCCUGAAAUGAUGGGCUGGAAUGUCUCUGAAGCUACUAUGAGUGAUGCUGCAUAUCAUAGUCAGAGCAACACAGACACACAAGGCUAAUACCCCAUGCUGCUAUCAGACUGGGAGGAGCUUUUACCUCUGGUUAUACAGAAUAGUUUUCCUGACACAUAGGGCUUAGCAUAUGAAAUGUGUAAGUCCAAAUUAUGGUAUAUACUGUGGAUUUCAAAUACUUAGUAUGAAAAGAGUAAAACAUACAUUUCUAAAAUUGUUACAUGUUGAAAUAGUAUGAGUAGUUAAAAUAAUACUGUAACCAAACCUAUCUGUUUCUUUUCUUCUUCUUUUUAGUAUGGUUAAUAAAUAAUUCAAAUUGCAUAAAUGUCUUGUGUUAUAUCUUUCUGGCACAACAUUGUCAUAUGGCUUGCAGAGGUUUUCUUCUUGCUUUUAUUAUGAUUUUGGGGCCAUGGUGGGGCACCUUUUAGAGGCAUGAAAUAAUGAAAUAAUGCCUCUGAAAUGAAAGAAUAAUGAAAGUUAGAGCCAGAUGCACUGACCAGUUGUAGGUACAUGAUAUAUAUAUAUAUAUAUAUCAGGUGUUUAAACUUUUGUUCUAAAACAUUUACUUUGGAAAGUAAAGUACCCAGGUUCUGUAUUUUCGAACCAAUAAAAGAUUGACAAUC